GAUGAACGCUGGCGGCGUGCUUAAUACAUGCAAGUCGAGCGAACAGACGAGGAGCUUGCUCCUCUGACGUUAGCGGCGGACGGGUGAGUAACACGUGGAUAACCUACCUAUAAGACUGGGAUAACUUCGGGAAACCGGAGCUAAUACCGGAUAAUAUAUUGAACCGCAUGGUUCAAUAGUGAAAGACGGUUUUGCUGUCACUUAUAGAUGGAUCCGCGCCGCAUUAGCUAGUUGGUAAGGUAACGGCUUACCAAGGCAACGAUGCGUAGCCGACCUGAGAGGGUGGUCGGCCACACUGGAACUGGGACACGGUCCAGGCGCCUACGGGAGGCAGCAGUAGGGAAUCGUCCGCAAUAGGCGGAAACUUGACGGAACAGCGCCGCGUGAGUGAUGAAGGUCUUCGGAUCGUAAAACUCUGUUAUUAGGGAAGAACAAAUGUGUAAGUAACUAUGCACGUCUUGACGGUACCUAAUCAGAAAGCCACGGCUAACUACGUG
rnacentral:rRNA from 1 species